AGAACCCUGCGAUGUACGUGAGAUGCCGUUUGUUUUGUACCAACACUAACAAAACGGGAAUUUGGAGUCUCGUCACAGCGCAGAAGCCGCCCUGUCUUGAGUGGACCUGCAAAGUGCCGGGCAGAACUCCCACCUGCGAGAGCAGGUUCAAAACACUGGCAUCACGGCAUUACCGGGGUUCUU
rfam:Aneurinibacillus migulanus strain DSM 2895 super7, whole genome shotgun sequence.